rnacentral:rRNA from 1 species
CCUACGGGUGGCUGCAGUGGGGAAUAUUGGACAAUGGGCGCAAGCCUGAUCCAGCAAUGCCGCGUGUGUGAAGAAGGCCUGCGGGUUGUAAAGCACUUUGAGUGGGGAAGAAGGCCUGGGGGUUAAUAGCUUCUGGGAUUGACGUUACCCACAGAACAAGCACCGGCUAACUCCGUGCCAGCAGCCGCGGUAAUACGGAGGGGACGUACGGGGAUCGGAAUUACUGGGCGUAGUGCACGCGUAGGCGGGUGAAAGCCCUGGGAUUAACCUGGGAACUGCAUUGGAUACUGUUUGACUGGAGUGUGGUAGAGGUGUGUGGAAUUUCCGGUGUAGCAGUGAAAUGCGUAGAGAUCGGAAGGAACACCAGUGGCGAAGGCGGCACCCUGGACCGACACUGACGCUGAGGUGCGAAAGCGUGGGGAGCAAACAGGAUUAGAUACCCCUGUAGUC